UACUAACCCACCUAUGUCUCAUCUUAAAUAGGACUGGAUUUCCCAAAGGAGUCUUCACAUUUACAAGAGGUAAUCAAAAUCUCUUCUUCUGUGUAACUAAGAUUCCUGAGUUGUUACAUUUCCUUUUGCUGUAUCUCAUUAAUAUAAAUCUGUUUUCCUUCUCAAUGCUCAGAUAAUUGAUUCUAAAGUACUGACUUCCAUUCUCUGCGUCUGUUCUGAGAAAUCUCCUUAAGAACCUCCACACCGCUUCUCUGACCGCACUCCUGCCCUUACAUCCUCCAAAGUUGGUUUCACCAAUCAAAAACUUCAAGGACAAAAGACCAAGUUUCUGGAGGCAGAUGCCAGGUUGUUGUCCUCGCACAUGAGUCUGUUUGAAGAAUUCUCCCUAAGACUCUCCACACCACUCCUCUGGCCACCCUCCUGACUCAAAGGCUCAUCUGUAACUUAUUGGUCACUCACCUCCUGGUGCACUCUCCAUCGCCCAAACCUCCAACCUUGAAGAGAAGGACAGAAAGAGACAAUAACUACUUCAACCAAUCAUCAAUCUGUUGCCAACCUCAGCCUCUGCUGAUGAGUUCACCACCUGUGCACCAUGCCGUCCUGGAUUCUUGAUCUAAAACAAGAAGAAUCAUCUCACUGUGCAGAUUUACCAAUAAACCUUUCAAACUUUC